GUGGGGAAUAUUGCGCAAUGGGGGAAACCCUGACGCAGCGACGCCGUGUGAGGGAAGAAGGCUUUCGGGUCGUAAACCUCUGUCAGAAAGGAAGAACCUCCCAAGUCCGAAUAGGGCUUGGGACUGACGGUACUUUCAAAGGAAGCACCGGCUAACUCCGUGCCAGCAGCCGCGGUAAUACGGAGGGUGCAAGCGUUAAUCGGAAUCACUGGGCGUAAAGCGCGCGUAGGCCGCUUUGUAAGUCGGACGUGAAAGCCCUUGGCUCAACCGGGGAAAUGCGUUCGAUACUGCGAGGCUUGAGUCCUGGAGAGGGUGGCGGAAUUCCGGGUGUAGGAGUGAAAUCCGUAGAUAUCCGGAGGAACACCGGUGGCGAAGGCGGCCACCUGGACAGGUACUGACGCUGAGGCGCGAAAGCGUGGGGAGCAAACAGGAUUAGAUACCCGGGUAGUCC
rnacentral:rRNA from 1 species